GUAUAAUAUGUAAAUAAUAUAUAGUAAUGAACUAUACUAUAAAAUAUACUAAAUAUAAAACAAACACAAAUUUUUACCCCUUUGUUUGUGGUUAGACAGUGUAGCAGCUGACAUCUAGUGGUGGUAAUUCAAUGGAAGACUAGACCGCUCGCGAGAACGAUACGAACACUACCGUGAGGGAAGUUGAACGAAGAUGACGAGAGACUCAAGAGUACUCAAGCCGAUCAUAAGUAAACCUAAGACACCCAAAUGGUCGAACGGGGAGACUCAUCAUCAGCGUUGGUGUCUUCUCGUCGGUGGACGAUGUCCUGCUGAGUCCUCGCGCUCGCGCGCGGUCACGUUGCCGUGCGUCGAUGUCCGGCUGUUGUCGUCGUGCACUUCUCCUCUUGUCGCGUGUGCUUGAGACUGCAGCUCUAAGUGGGUGGUAAAUUCCAUGUAAAGCUAAAUAUUGGCGAGAGACCGCUAGCGACCAAGUACAGUGAUGGAAAGAUGAAACUAGCUUUGAAAAGCGAGUGAAAAAGUACGUGUAAUCGUUGAAAGGGAAGGGCUGUAGAUCAGACUUGGUAUUUUGUAUGUUACUCUCUCGGGGGUGGCCUCUCCAGUUUCCCGGGCCAGCAUCAGUUUGGGCGCUAGUCCAAUUGCAAAGAAAUGUGGCACUCCCUCGGUAGUGUGUUAUAGUCUUGGUCGAUACUGCCAGCCUAGGCUGAGUACUGCGGCUUCGCCUUAGGAUGUUGGCAUAAUGUUCUAAAGUCGCCCGUCUUGAAACACGGACCAAGGAGUCUAACGUCUAUGAGAGUGUUUGGGUGUAACACCCGUGCGCGUAAGGAAAGUGAAGGUAGGUAGGACCUCCUUUAGGCGUGCACUAUCGACCGAUCCUGAUGUCUUCGGAUGGAUUCGAGUAAGAGCAUAGCUGUUGGGACCCGAAAGAUGGUGAACUAUGCCUGAAUAGGGUGAAGCCAGAGGAAACUCUGGUGGAGGCUCGUAGCGGAUCUGACGUGCAAAUCGAUCGUCGAAUUUGCUAUAGGGGCGUAAGGCUAUAAAGCGC
rnacentral:rRNA from 1 species